CAGAUAUGUAAAAAGAAAAAAGUUCACACACUCUGUUUAUAUAUAUCUUUAUUCAAACAUAAAAUUAUGGCAAAUUACAAGAACAAAUCAUACAUUAAAAAAAAAAAAAAUUGUGUUGGAAAAAAAAAAAGAAGUCAGGAUUUAAAAUACAAAUUCAGAAUGAAUCCCCAUAAGUGACAUACAGAACCACACCUUAUCACCCACAGGGUGAUGUCAAAGUUUGAUGCUUAAACAGGACUUUGCUUCACACGUGUGGAAUUUUGAGCCUCCGUCUCAGAUCUGAACGCAGCCUGUAUUCUAGUAGGAACAAUGAAGUACAAACUGAACUCUACAUAGCAGCUGCCAUUUUGUUUUUAAUUUAAGAGGGCACAAUGACACAAUGAGGGCACAACAAUAUAAUGAAAUACCAAUGAACACAGAAUAAUUAACAGUGUAUUGUAAGGUGCCUUUAUUUGAGUCACGAGACCAAAAGCUUGAAAUUCCCUUUUUCAUUGAGCCCAGUCAUGGGUAACUUUAAAAAUGUAUUUAUUUAGUACUGGGCUAAGAUCAGGAAGUAGGAGAGUAAAUGUAAUUUAUAAAAUAUCAUAUAUAUAUAUAAUAUAGUGUAAAAGUAGAUGGCUGCACUCUCUGUCUUAAAUAAAAUGUAACUUAUUUCAGCUUCUUAAAAACAGGAUCAACGUGCAAGGGGAAAUUGACAACCCGCUGACACACAGCUCCCUAAAGAAACUGCUGGACGAAAUGUCAGACAAAAUAGUGGGAAAAAUGGACAGUGCUAUGACAGCCCUAAGAAAAGAACUUCAAGAUAUAGGCCAGCGCACAGCGCGGACGGAGGAACAAAUCACAGAAAUGGCGGAAGCCCACAACGCACUUGCAGAAACCGUUGACGGCCUGGCCGCACGACUAAAUGACCAAGAUCUUAAGAUAGCAGAUAUGGAGGACAGGGCACGCCGCAACAACCUCCGCAUAAGGGGGAUACCAGAAACGGUUAAAAAUGAAGACCUCAACGCCCAUGUCACGGGCCUACUAAAAGCACUUGCUCCAGACUUACCAAUUGACCUGCUCCUGCUAGACAGGAUUCACAGGACCGCCAGACCGAAAUUCUUACCCCCAGACACGCCGAGAGAUACCUUACUCAGAAUGCAUUAUUUCCACGCUAAAGAAGUUAUCUUGAAUGCAAACAGAAAACGGAAGGAAAUGCCUGCACAAUACAGAGGUACAACCAUCUACUCAGACAUAUCCUCAUACACCUUAAAGAGACGGCGCGACUUCAGGGAUAUAACCAUUCUGCUCCGAGACAACCAUCUCCCAUACCGAUGGGGAUUCCCCACCAAGCUCCUGGUGAUGCGGGACGGGAGGACCACAACGAUAGGAUCCCCGGAGGAAGGCCACCGUAUCCUAAGGGACUGGAACAUCGCAUCCACACAGAUGGCUGAGCAAGAAAGAAGUGGCAACAGAGCCUCACCGGACUGGAAGAAGGCGAAACGGAGAUGAAGCAUAUAAGACUGUGUGCAGGCCUUACGGCACCACAGGGUGAUGGACUAUCAACCCAGGGGCAGGGUAACGUACAAUGAUACACCAACUACACUGAGCAAUUGCAAUGCUCACGAUAGGGCAUAGUAAUAGGUGGGGGGCCUCGCUUUAUUAUACGAGCUUGGGUCCCUCAACAACACUACCC